rnacentral:lncRNA from 1 species
AUGUUGCAGGGCAGCGCCCCUUCCUCGGAGGUGGCACUGGGCGGAGGCUCCGUGGUGGUGGGCAGAGCCGGCGUGGUCCGCUCCGGGAUGGCGGCUGCGCUGGUGGUGCGUGUCUUUGCGCUGGUGGUGGUUCUGCUGGGGGUGCUGGUCGUAGCAGCGGCGGCGGUGGUGGUGGUCGUACUGGUCGUCGUUGGCGCAGGUCUGGUCGUUGUGGCGGCGGUGGUGGUGGUGGUGGUGGGGGCGGUGGUGGGGGCGGUGGUGGUGGUGGUGGUGGUGGUGGUGGUGGUGGUGGUGGCGGCGGUGGUGGGGGUGGUGGUGGUGGUGGGGGGAGCAGUGGUGGUUGGAGGCGUGGUGGUGGUGGUGGUUGUAGCGGCGGUGGUGGUUGGGGGGGAGGUCGCCAUGGCGGCCGUGGUGGUCGUCACGGUAACGGGGCUGGUCGGGGAGGCUGCCGGUCCGGCGGGGGGGGCCUCCGAGGCGGGGGGGCCGGCGGGGGCCCGCUGCGUGCUCACGGCGGCGGGGGGGGCAGACGUCGGGGCCGGCCCGCCCGUUCCCGCCACGGCGCCCCGUGACCCGUUCGCAGCGGGUGGGGGCGUCGUCAGAGGAGGAGGCGUCGCCGCGGUCACCGAGGCCGACUGGCGGCUGCCGGCGGCCCCCGUGUGUCGGGGCCCCGGGGCCGUGGGGGACGCCAGCGGGGCCCGCAGGGUGGUGCCCCCGGUGGAAGGAGGCGGUGGUGCGGCCGUGGUGGUGACAGCGAGAGGCGGAGUCAGGUGCAUCCUGGAGGUGGAGGAGGUGGUGGUGGAGGUGGUGGGGGAGGUGAUGGGGGAGGUGGGGGUGGAGGAGGUGGGGGUGGGGGAGGUGGAGCUCUGCUUGGAGCUGUUCCCAGGGCGCCCGGGGGCGGUGGUGUUCCACUGGUGGGUGGAGAAGGGGCUGGUGAUGUUGUCGGGCAGCGUGAUGUCGUGGUCGCCGAGGGUGGACAGCAGAGACUCCGGGAUGGUGGGCAGGUCCCAGGCGGGGAGGCUGCUCAUUGGCUCCUCUGGAAGAGGCGGAGCCAGCAAGAUUUAA